UACGUAGGGUGCAAGCGUUGUCCGGAAUUAUUGGGCGUAAAGAGCUCGUAGGCGGUUUGUCGCGUCUGCUGUGAAAAUCCAGGGCUUAACCCUGGACCCGCAGUGGGUACGGGCAGACUGGAGUGCGGUAGGGGAGAUCGGAAUUCCUGGUGUAGCGGUGAAAUGCGCAGAUAUCAGGAGGAACACCGGUGGCGAAGGCGGAUCUCUGGGCCGUAACUGACGCUGUGGAGCGAAAGCAUGGGGAGCGAACAGG
rnacentral:rRNA from 1 species